rnacentral:rRNA from 1 species
UACGACUACAUAUCAGGCAUAUCAAUAAGCGGAGGAAAAGAAACUAACAAGGAUUCCCUUAGUAACGGCGAGUGAAGCGGGAAGAGCUCAAAUUUGAAAUCUUCAAGGUUUUACCUUGACGAAUUGUAGUUUAAAGAAGUGUUUUCUAUUGAAGUUUCGGUAAAAGUUCUUUGGAAUAGGACAUCAUAGAGGGUGAGAAUCCCGUAUUUGACCGUUAUUUUCAGCUGUGUGAUACACUUUCAAAGAGUCGGAUUGUUUGGGAAUGCAGUCCAAAAUGGGUGGUAAAUUUCAUCUAAAGCUAAAUAUUGGCGAGAGACCGAUAGCGAACAAGUACCGUGAGGGAAAGAUGAAAAGAACUUUGAAAAGAGAGUUAAACAGUACGUGAAAUUGUCAAAAGGGAAGCGUUUGACACCAGUGUUGUUUUCUCGAAAAUCAAUUAAAAAUGGCUUGAUUUUGUGUUGUAUUGACCUUAAAAGCUUUCUUCACUUUUUUCAUGUCUUUUUUAAUGCACUUUUCGUUUAACAAGUCAACAUCAGUUUCUUUUGUUGUAAAAAGGUCAUUGGAAGGUGGCUUUCCUUUUCGGAGAAAGUGUUUAUAGCCUUUGACUCCUGCAAUCGGAGAGACUGAGGUCUGCAGCGUAGAUCCUUCUUGGAUUAGAUUCAUUUGUGCUAAGUUAUAGCUUUUAUAGACAACUUGUUGACUAUAGUUUAGUCUUGUAGCUUACUCGCUUAUGUAAUUUUACCUACGCUUAGGAUGUUGAAUCUGUGCGAGACUAC